UACGGAGGGUGCAAGCGUUGCUCGGAAUUAUUGGGCGUAAAGCGUAUGUAGGCGGUUUCCUAAGUCUGAUGUGAAAUCCCGGGGCUUAACUCCGGAACUGCAUUGGAUACUGGGAAGCUAGAGGACGAUAGAGGAUGGUGGAAUUCCAGGUGUAGGGGUGAAAUCCGUAGAUAUCUGGAGGAACAUCAGUGGCGAAGGCGGCCAUCUGGAUCGUACCUGACGCUGAGAUACGAAAGCGUGGGGAGCAAACAGG
rnacentral:rRNA from 1 species